rnacentral:rRNA from 1 species
UACAGAGGUCUCGAGCGUUAGGCGGAAUCACUGGGCUUAAAGCGCGUGUAGGCGGGUCGUUAAGUGUCCGAGUGAAAUCCCACGGCUCAACCGUGGAACUGCCGGGCAUACUGGCGAUCUUGAGGCAUUCAGGGGCGAGCGGAACAAAUGGUGGAGCGGUGAAAUGCGUAGAUAUCAUUUGGAACGCCAAUGGUGAAAACAGCUCGCUGGGAAUGAUCUGACGCUGAGACGCGAAAGCCAGGGAGCGAACGGG